UACGAAGGGGGCUAGCGUUGUUCGGAAUUACUGGGCGUAAAGCGCACGUAGGCGGAAUGUUAAGUCAGGGGUGAAAUCCCGGGGCUCAACCCCGGAACUGCCUUUGAUACUGGCAUUCUCGAGUCCGGAAGAGGUGAGUGGAAUUCCUGGUGUAGAGGUGAAAUUCGUAGAUAUCAGGAGGAACACCAGUGGCGAAGGCGGCUUCCUGGACACCAACUGACGCUGAGACGCGAAAGCGUGGGGGAGCAAACAGG
rnacentral:rRNA from 1 species